GAUGAAGAACGUAGUGAAAUGCGAUAAGUAAUGUGAAUUGCAGAUUUCAGUGAAUCAUCGAAUCUUUGAACGCACCUUGCGCCUUGUGGUAUUCCACAAGGCAUGCCCGUUUGAGUAUCAUUAAAUCAUCAACUCUAAAACCUUUGUGGUUUUUUUAGAGCUUGGUCUUGAGGGUUUUGCAGGCUUUUUUUUUUUUCGAGUCUGCUCCCUUUAAAUGCAUUAGCGAGACUUCCCUAUGCUGAACCGUCUCUUUGACGUGAUAAUUAUCUGCGUCGAAUUUUGGUUCUCGUUGGGCUUGCUUCUAAUCGUCUGUUAAAGACAAAACGGAUUUGGGUGCAUAUAUGCGCCUUUUUCCAAAACCUUUUUUGAUCUCAAAUCGGGUAGGACUACCCGCUGAACUUAAGCAUAUCAAUAAGCGGAGGA
rnacentral:misc_RNA from 1 species